GACGAACGCUGGCGGCGUGCUUAACACAUGCAAGUCGAACGGAAAGGCCCUGCUUUUGUGGGGUGCUCGAGUGGCGAACGGGUGAGUAACACGUGAGUAACCUGCCCUUGACUUUGGGAUAACUUCAGGAAACUGGGGCUAAUACCGGAUAGGAGCUCCUGCUGCAUGGUGGGGGUUGGAAAGUUUCGGCGGUUGGGGAUGGACUCGCGGCUUAUCAGCUUGUUGGUGGGGUAGUGGCUUACCAAGGCUUUGACGGGUAGCCGGCCUGAGAGGGUGACCGGCCACAUUGGGACGGAGAUACGGCCCAGACUCCUACGGGAGGCAGCAGUGGGGAAUAUUGCACAAUGGGCGGAAGCCUGAUGCAGCAACGCCGCGUGCGGGAUGACGGCCUUCGGGUUGUAAACCGCUUUCGCCUGUGACGAAGCGUGAGUGACGGUAAUGGGGAAAGAAGCACCGGCUAACUACGG
rnacentral:rRNA from 1 species